UGUGUGUGUGUGUGUGUGUGUGUGUGUGUGUGUGUGUGUGUGUGUGUGUGUGUUGUUGUUGUUGUUGUUGUUGUUGUUGAGAUUGGAAUGGCCAGACAUCAAAAUUAAUGGUCAUGACUGUAAAACAAUAGCUUGUCUGGAUACCUGGUCAUCUACAUUAAUGGCCCCAGACAUGUAUAACAAAAGCCUUUAAUGGUCAGCAAUUCAUUAAUAUGCAGACUGUAUGAAUGAUCACCUGAGUUUAGCAGCUGUUUCUCAAACAGGGGGAGGAGAAAAGGAUCAGACAUAGUCUCAGAUAAAUGUUUGUAGGAAUCUCAUUGUUAUGAAAAUCUUCAUAAAAUUUAAAUUAUAAACUCAUGUGACUUUCAACCCAGUACUUUUCUGGAUUGCUCCAGGACUGAUUUCAUGUAUUUAUAUAUGAAAUAAAAAUAAAGUUUAAUGCAGGAAAUGUAUAUCUAUGGGACUUCAUGAUCUAUAACUUAUGAUGAUUGACAGUAAAUCUCAAAGUGUCUUCUUUCCAAAGAUAUUUAAAUUGUGUAUGUAGCACAUUUUUUAUCAGAAACUGUUAACAAUUAAAGUUAGGUAGCGCAUUUUCAGCUAUGAGUCCCAAAGUCUGUGUCCUAACAGGUUAAUGAAGCGUGAUGUGAAAUCUGGGCGUGUAUCUUUGCGUGCUAUAAGACGGGCUUCGAAAAAUGUAGGUAAAAGUUGCAUUAGCUUUGAAUCGCGACUCUACGUGUUUUAGCCGUUGUUUGUGGAGAUAAAAUGGAUUACAGUAGCCCUAAAAAAAUUCCCCAUGUAGACGGAGAAGAAUUUUCUCGAGAAAGGUUCCUCUUAGUAGCAGAUUUGGCAUUGGAUCCAGCAUGGAUUCGGAAAUUAAAUUUUUAAGAAGAGAUCUGAGCAAAGCAAAACGUAAAAUAAGCGACAUGGAAACGGAAUUGGGGGCAGCAAAGGCUGUAUAUAUUAUGUUGUUAAUCCUGAGCAGGAAGGAGGUUGAGAAAUGCAGGAGGAAGGGUCUGUUGAGGGUGCCAUAAGGACUGUGACAGAGGAAGCAGCACACUGAACUUCCGAAAAUAUUUGCAUUUCUGUUUGGAAAGUUUUAUUUAGUUUGUUAUUGUAAUUGUAUAGUGUUGUUUUAUAUAAUAAAUAUUUUUGUGAUUCUGGGUUUGUGUUUUGUAAAGUGAGUUUUUGAAGUCUUUUGGGUAUAUGAAAAAUUGCAUGGUUUAAAUGUAGUGGAGAUAAAAUGGAAGAUUUUAUUAUAAUGAAUGAAUCUUGUUUGUGUGAUUUAAAAAGAGCAAAAUGUAAA